rnacentral:rRNA from 1 species
AACAUCGCCCUUUGAAAAAAUAAUUAUAAAGGGUACUGCCUGCCCAGUGAUAAAAAUUAAACGGCCGCGGUACUUUGACCGUGCAAAGGUAGCAUAAUCAUUUGUUCUUUAAUUGAGGACUAGUAUGAAAGGCAAAACGAAAGCUUAACUGUCUCCUUUUUAAAAAAUGAAAUUAAUAUUUUUGUGAAGAAGCAAAAAUAAUAAAGUAAGACGAGAAGACCCUGUCGAGCUUAAGAAAAUUUUUAUAAUAAUAUUUUAAAAAGAUAAAAAAAAUUCUACUACAAAAAUAAAAUAAAAAUAUCUUUGGUUGGGGCAACCACGAAGAAAAAAAAACCUUCGUUCAAAAAAAGAAAUUCACAAAUUUAAAAAUUAUAAAAAAUUUAAAAGAUCCAGAAAAUUCUGAUCAAAGAAAAAAGUUACCGCAGGGAUAACAGCGUUAUUCUCUUUAAGAGCUCUUAUUGACAAGAGAGUUUGCGACCUCGAUGUUGGACCGGGGCACCCAAGAGGUGUAGAAGCCUCUAAAGGUAGGUCUGUUCGACCUUUAAAGCCCUACGUGAU